rnacentral:rRNA from 1 species
GAUGAACGCUGGCGGCGUGCCUAAUACAUGCAAGUCGAGCGAACGGACGAGAAGCUUGCUUCUCUGAUGUUAGCGGCGGACGGGUGAGUAACACGUGGAUAACCUACCUAUAAGGCUGGGGUAACUUCGGGAAACCGGAGCUAAUACCGGAUGAUAUUUUGAACCGCAUGGUUCAAAAGUGAAAGACGGUCUUGCUGUCACUUAUAGAUGGAUCCGCGCUGCAUUAGCUAGUUGGUAAGGUAACGGCUUACCAAGGCAACGAUGCAUAGCCGACCUGAGAGGGUGAUCGGCCACACUGGAACUGAGACACGGUCCAGACUCCUACGGGAGGCAGCAGUAGGGAAUCUUCCGCAAUGGGCGAAAGCCUGACGGAGCAACGCCGCGUGAGUGAUGAAGGUCUUCGGAUCGUAAAACUCUGUUAUUAGGGAAGAACAUAUGUGUAAGUAACUGUGCACAUCUUGACGGUACCUAAUCAGAAAGCCACGGCUAACUACGUG